GGAGCCCCUAGACAUCUACAACGUAAAUGCGCCACCCACCUUGAGAUACAAGUUCUAAGGUCUCAGUAUAGUUACAACGGUUACCCCACCCUUCAAAUCGAAGCGCAUUGCUGCUUUACGGUAGAAAUAGGUGGUGGUACCUACCCGUGCGGAUUUACAAUAAACAGGAUUCAAUAAUAAUAGAUUAGUUAAUAACAGUGUAAAAUAAAUAAUACAAAAUUCACUGUUUUUGUUGAAAACGGCUAUCGUAAUAUUUAUGAAGAAGGUUAUUUGAGGAGAAUGCAAAAAGACAACUGACAAAGAACAUCGGAGCGAGUGUUCUUCGAAAAACAUCUGAACGAUAAAAAUAACAUUUUGUUCGUGUCUGUAUUUACAUUGUCUGUGUGUCUUAUCAAAUAUUAAAAGAAAUAAAUCUACCUAUAUGUGAAAUGUUUACUGAAUUGAAUUAUUCUCUUUUUGGAUAAAAUAUAUCGACAUGAAGACAAUACUUCUAAAAGUAUAUCUUCUAUUAAGUAUAAUUCACUAUUCUUGAAGGCAAAAUUAUAUUUAAGCAACUGCAAAUCUAAUUUUAAUAUCGCAAUCAAAUUCGAUACAUUCGUUUUGGAGAAUAUUCAUUAGCUUAGAUACGCCGAGAGAUUGCCUGACUUCCUUAAUAGGAGCCGUAGAUUUAGUAGCCGUAGAGUCAUUCAAUUCCGUUUUCUGCGCUGAAGAGUUUAAUAGCUGUUUUUUCAAUUAAGCCGAGACUCCGAUCUGACAUCCCAAGAUUGGCAGAAGAAUUAACUUCAGAACGUCCACCUUAAUGAAGAUGAAAGAGAAAAAGCUAACUGGUACACUGCAGAAUGUGGUGUAGAAACUGGCGUGAGCACCGAAGUGAUAAAUGCAGCGAAGAUUGGAAAGUACUCCAAAGAUAAAGCUUUUAAG